rnacentral:rRNA from 1 species
ACUAGAUCGGCAUCGAACUAGUAUUAAAGGAGCGAAUGCUCCGCUACUGGAUGGACUCGCGGUGCAUUAGCUAGUUGGUGAGGUAGAGGCUCACCAAGGCGAUGAUGCAUAGCCGACCUGAGAGAGUGAACGGCCACAUUGGGACUGAGACACGGCCCAGACUCCUACGGGAGGCAGCAGUAGGGAAUUUUCGUCAAUGUGGGAAACCCUGAACGAGCAAUGCCGCGUGAGUGAAGAAGGAUUUCGGUCU